UACGGGAGGCAGCAGUGGGGAAUAUUGCACAAUGGGCGCAAGCCUGAUGCAGCAACGCCGCGUGAGGGAUGACGGCCUUCGGGUUGUAAACCUCUUUUAGUAGGGAAGAAGCGAAAGUGACGGUACCUGCAGAAAAAGCACCGGCUAACUACGUGCCAGCAGCCGCGGUAA
rnacentral:rRNA from 1 species